GGAUGAACGCUGGCGGCGUGCCUAAUACAUGCAAGUCGAGCGAACAGACGAGGAGCUUGCUCCUCUGACGUUAGCGGCGGACGGGUGAGUAACACGUGGAUAACCUACCUAUAAGACUGGGAUAACUUCGGGAAACCGGAGCUAAUACCGGAUAAUAUAUUGAACCGCAUGGUUCAAUAGUGAAAGACGGUUUUGCUGUCACUUAUAGAUGGAUCCGCGCCGCAUUAGCUAGUUGGUAAGGUAACGGCUUACCAAGGCAACGAUGCGUAGCCGACCUGAGAGGGUGAUCGGCCACACUGGAACUGAGACACGGUCCAGACUCCUACGGGAGGCAGCAGUAGGGAAUCUUCCGCAAUGGGCGGAAGCUUGACGGAGCAACGCCGCGUGAGUGAUGAAGGUCUUCGGAUCGUAAAACUCUGUUAUUAGGGAAGAACAAAUGUGUAAGUAACUAUGCACGUCUUGACGGUACCUAAUCAGAAAGCCACGGCUAACUACGUG
rnacentral:rRNA from 1 species